GAUGAACGCUGGCGGCGUGCCUAAUACAUGCAAGUCGAGCGAACAGACGAGGAGCUUGCUCCUCUGACGUUAGCGGCGGACGGGUGAGUAACACGUGGAUAACCUACCUAUAAGACUGGGAUAACUUCGGGAAACCGGAGCUAAUACCGGAUAAUAUAUUGAACCGCAUGGUUCAAUAGUGAAAGACGGUUUUGCUGUCACUUAUAGAUGGAUCCGCGCCGCAUUAGCUAGUUGGUAAGGUAACGGCUUACCAAGGCAACGAUGCGUAGCCGACCUGAGAGGGUGGUCCGCCACACUGGAACUGAGACACGGUCCAGACUCCUACGGGAGGCAGCAGUAGGGAAUCUUCCGCAAUGGGCCAAAGCCUGACGGAGCAACGCCGCGUGAGUGAUGAAGGUCUUCGGAUCGUAAAACUCUGUUAUUAGGGAAGAACAAAUGUGUAAGUAACUAUGCACGUCUUGACGGUACCUAAUCAGAAAGCCACGGCUAACUACGUG
rnacentral:rRNA from 1 species